GGUCGCCUGGCGAAAUGGCAUCGCGUCUGACUACGAUGAUGGAAUUCAUAAUCAGGAGAUUGCAGGUUCGACCCCUGCGGUGGUCA